GUGCCACUGCUAUCUGUUCUGAGGUUCACUCUGUUCAGCAGCCUUGGACUCUUCAUGGAGUAACAGAUUGGUAUAACUACAGCCUUGAGCCUCACUUGAACCACCACAGCCUCUUCUGAACAGCCAGCAGUCCUUGAAGUCUCAGAGUCUUUUAACCAAAGGGUACUGCACCAGGGAAGAGGUGGUCAUCAACUAUGAAGGAAUCCAGACCUUUAAUCCUGUAGAGCUUCCAAGUAAGGAUAAUGGGUCAACUACAACCUUCUUCCUAGGAUAUGUCGACGUGCACGGCAUUAGGAAAAUCUGCUCUUUAAAUUAAAAUACAAACUCAUGA